rnacentral:rRNA from 1 species
CUGCAGUCGAACGCCCUCUUUUAGAGGGAGUGGCGCACGGGUGCGUAACGCGUGGGAACCUGCCCUUAGGUUCGGAAUAACUCAGAGAAAUUUGAGCUAAUACCGGAUAAUGUCUUCGGACCAAAGAUUUAUCGCCUUUGGAUGGGCCCGCGUAGGAUUAGAUAGUUGGUGGGGUAAUGGCCUACCAAGUCGACGAUCCUUAGCUGGUCUGAGAGGAUGAUCAGCCACACUGGGACUGAGACACGGCCCAGACUCCUACGGGAGGCAGCAGUGGGGAAUAUUGGACAAUGGGCGAAAGCCUGAUCCAGCAAUGCCGCGUGAGUGAUGAAGGCCUUAGGGUUGUAAAGCUCUUUUACCAGGGAUGAUAAUGACAGUACCUGGAGAAUAAGCUCCGGCUAACUCCGUGCCAGCAGCCGCGGUAAUACGGAGGGAGCUAGCGUUGUUCGGAAUUACUGGGCGUAAAGCGCACGUAGGCGGCUUUUCAAGUCAGGGGUGAAAUCCCGGGGCUCAACCCCGGAACUGCCCUUGAAACUGGAUGGCUAGAAUACUGGAGAGGUGAGUGGAAUUCCGAGUGUAGAGGUGAGAUUCGUAGAUAUUCGGAAGAACGCCAGUGGCGAACGCGACG